rnacentral:rRNA from 1 species
AGAGUUUGAUCAUGGCUCAGAUUGAACGCUGGCGGCAGGCCUAACACAUGCAAGUCGAACGGUAACAGGAAGCAGCUUGCUGCUUUGCUGACGAGUGGCGGACGGGUGAGUAAUGUCUGGGAAACUGCCUGAUGGAGGGGGAUAACUACUGGAAACGGUGGCUAAUACCGCAUAACGUCGCAAGACCAAAGAGGGGGACCUUCGGGCCUCUUGCCAUCAGAUGUGCCCAGAUGGGAUUAGCUUGUUGGUGAGGUAACGGCUCACCAAGGCGACGAUCCCUAGCUGGUCUGAGAGGAUGACCAGCCACACUGGAACUGAGACACGGUCCAGACUCCUACGGGAGGCAGCAGUGGGGAAUAUUGCACAAUGGGCGCAAGCCUGAUGCAGCCAUGCCGCGUGUAUGAAGAAGGCCUUCGGGUUGUAAAGUACUUUCAGCGGGGAGGAAGGUGUUGUGGUUAAUAACCGCAGCAAUUGACGUUACCCGCAGAAGAAGCACCGGCUAACUCCGUGCCAGCAGCCGCGGUAAUACGGAGGGUGCAAGCGUUAAUCGGAAUUACUGGGCGUAAAGCGCACGCAGGCGGUCUGUCAAGUCGGAUGUGAAAUCCCCGGGCUCAACCUGGGAACUGCAUUCGAAACUGGCAGGCUUGAGUCUUGUAGAGGGGGGUAGAAUUCCAGGUGUAGCGGUGAAAUGCGUAGAGAUCUGGAGGAAUACCGGUGGCGAAGGCGGCCCCCUGGACAAAGACUGACGCUCAGGUGCGAAAGCGUGGGGAGCAAACAGGAUUAGAUACCCUGGUAGUCCACGCCGUAAACGAUGUCUACUUGGAGGUUGUGCCCUUGAGGCGUGGCUUCCGGAGCUAACGCGUUAAGUAGACCGCCUGGGGAGUACGGCCGCAAGGUUAAAACUCAAAUGAAUUGACGGGGGCCCGCACAAGCGGUGGAGCAUGUGGUUUAAUUCGAUGCAACGCGAAGAACCUUACCUGGUCUUGACAUCCACAGAACUUUCCAGAGAUGAGAUUGUGCCUUCGGGAACUGUGAGACAGGUGCUGCAUGGCUGUCGUCAGCUCGUGUUGUGAAAUGUUGGGUUAAGUCCCGCAACGAGCGCAACCCUUAUCCUUUGUUGCCAGCGGUCCGGCCGGGAACUCAAAGGAGACUGCCAGUGAUAAACUGGAGGAAGGUGGGGAUGACGUCAAGUCAUCAUGGCCCUUACGACCAGGGCUACACACGUGCUACAAUGGCGCAUACAAAGAGAAGCGACCUCGCGAGAGCAAGCGGACCUCAUAAAGUGCGUCGUAGUCCGGAUUGGAGUCUGCAACUCGACUCCAUGAAGUCGGAAUCGCUAGUAAUCGUGGAUCAGAAUGCCACGGUGAAUACGUUCCCGGGCCUUGUACACACCGCCCGUCACACCAUGGGAGUGGGUUGCAAAAGAAGUAGGUAGCUUAACCUUCGGGAGGGCGCUUACCACUUUGUGAUUCAUGACUGGGGUGAAGUCGUAACAAGGUAACCGUAGGGGAACCUGCGGUUG